AUUGAACGCUGGCGGCAUGCCUUACACAUGCAAGUCGAACGGUAACAGGUCUUCGGAUGCUGACGAGUGGCGAACGGGUGAGUAAUACAUCGGAACGUGCCUAGUAGUGGGGGAUAACUACUCGAAAGAGUGGCUAAUACAGCAUGAGAUCUACGGAUGAAAGCAGGGGAUCGCAAGACCUUGUGCUACUAGAGCGGCCGAUGGCAGAUUAGGUAGUUGGUGGGAUAAAAGCUUACCAAGCCGACGAUCUGUAGCUGGUCUGAGAGGACGAUCAGCCAGGCUGGGACUGAAACACGGCCCAGACUCCUACGGGAGGCAGCAGUGGGGAAUGUUGGACAAUGGGCGAAAGCCUGAUCCAGCAAUGCCGCGUGCAGGAUGAAGGCCUUCGGGUUGUAAACUGCUUUUGUACGGAACGAAAAGCCCCGGGUUAAUACCCUGGGGUCAUGACGGUACCGUAAGAAUAAGCACCGGCUAACUACGUGCCAGCCGCCGCAGUAA
rnacentral:rRNA from 1 species